UACAGGGGGGGCAAGCGUUGUUCGGAAUUACUGGGCGUAAAGGGUUUGUAGGUGGCCACUUAAGUCAGACGUGAAAUCCCUCAGCUUAACUGGGGAACUGCGUCUGAUACUGAGUGGCUUGAGUGCAGGAGAGGAGCGCGGAAUUCCAGGUGUAGCGGUGAAAUGCGUAGAUAUCUGGAGGAACACCGGUGGCGAAGGCGGCGUUCUGGACUGUAACUGACACUGAAAAACGAAAGCCAGGGGAGCAAACGGG
rnacentral:rRNA from 1 species